rnacentral:rRNA from 1 species
UACGUAGGAGGCAAGCGUUGUCCGGAAUUACUGGGCGUAAAGCGCGUGUAGGUGGUGGGACAAGUCUGCUGUGAAAGCGCCUGGCUUAACCGGGCGAGGUCGGCGGAAACUGUCCGACUAGAGGACGGUAGAGGGGGUGGAAUUCCCGGUGUAGUGGUGAAAUGCGCAGAUAUCAGGAAGAACACCCGUGGCGAAGGCGGCUCUCUGGGACGGUACUGACGCUGAGACGCGAAAGCGUGGGAGCGAACAGG